AUUGAACGCUGGCGGCAGGUCUAACACAUGCAAGUCGAGCGGUUGACGGGAGCUUGCUCCCUGAUUCAGCGGCGGACGGGUGAGUAAUGCCUAGGAAUCUGCCUAUUAGUGGGGGACAACGUUUCGAAAGGAACGCUAAUACCGCAUACGUCCUACGGGAGAAAGCAGGGGACCUUCGGGCCUUGCGCUAAUAGAUGUGCCUAGGUCGGAUUAGCUUGUUGGUGAGGUAAUGGCUCACCAAGGCGACGAUCCGUAACCGGUCUGAGAGGAUGAUCAGUCACACUGGAACUGAGACACGGUCCAGACUCCUACGGGAGGCAGCAGUGGGGAAUAUUGGACAAUGGGCGAAAGCCUGAUCCAGCCAUGCCGCGUGUGUGAAGAAGGUCUUCGGAUUGUAAAGCACUUUAAGUUGGGAGGAAGGGUUGUAGAUUAAUACUCUGCAAUUUUGACGUUACCGACAGAAUAAGCACCGGCUAACUCAGUGCCAGCCGCCGCGGUAACAC
rnacentral:rRNA from 1 species